UACGGGGGGAGCAAGCGUUGUUCGGAUUUACUGGGCGUAAAGGGCUCGUAGGCGGCCAACUAAGUCGGACGUGAAAUCCCUCAGCUUAACUGGGGAACUGCGUCCGAUACUGGAUGGCUUGGAUUUGGGAGAGGGAUGCGGAAUUCCAGGUGUAGCGGUGAAAUGCGUAGAUAUCUGGAGGAACACCGGUGGCGAAGGCGGCAUCCUGGACCAAUAUUGACGCUGAGGAGCGAAAGCUAGGGGAGCAAACGGG
rnacentral:rRNA from 1 species